rnacentral:rRNA from 1 species
GACGAACUUUGGCGGCGUGCUUAACACAUGCAAGUCGAACGGAAAGGCCCUGCUUUUGUGGGGUGCUCGAGUGGCGAACGGGUGAGUAACACGUGAGUAACCUGCCCUUGACUUUGGGAUAACUUCAGGAAACUGGGGCUAAUACCGGAUAGGAGCUCCUGCUGCAUGGUGGGGGUUGGAAAGUUUCGGCGGUUGGGGAUGGACUCGCGGCUUAUCAGCUUGUUGGUGGGGUAGUGGCUUACCAAGGCUUUGACGGGUAGCCGGCCUGAGAGGGUGACCGGCCACAUUGGGACUGAGAUACGGCCCAGACUCCUACGGGAGGCAGCAGUGGGGAAUAUUGCACAAUGGGCGGAAGCCUGAUGCAGCAACGCCGCGUGCGGGAUGACGGCCUUCGGGUUGUAAACCGCUUUCGCCUGUGACGAAGCGUGAGUGACGGUAAUGGGUAAAGAAGCACCGGCUAACUACGUGCCAGCAGCCGCGGUGAUACGUAGGGUGCGAGCGUUGUCCGGAUUUAUUGGGCGUAAAGGGCUCGUAGGUGGUUGAUCGCGUCGGAAGUGUAAUCUUGGGGCUUAACCCUGAGCGUGCUUUCGAUACGGGUUGACUUGAGGAAGGUAGGGGAGAAUGGAAUUCCUGGUGGAGCGGUGGAAUGCGCAGAUAUCAGGAGGAACACCAGUGGCGAAGGCGGUUCUCUGGGCCUUUCCUGACGCUGAGGAGCGAAAGCGUGGGGAGCGAACAGGCUUAGAUACCCUGGUAGUCCACGCUGUAAACGGUGGGUACUAGGUGUGGGGUCCAUUCCACGGGUUCCGUGCCGUAGCUAACGCUUUAAGUACCCCGCCUGGGGAGUACGGCCGCGAGGCUAAAACUCAAAGGAAUUGACGGGGCCCCGCACAAGCGGCGGAGCAUGCGGAUUAAUUCGAUGCAACGCGUAGAACCUUACCUGGGUUUGACAUGGAUCGGGAGUGCUCAGAGAUGGGUGUGCCUCUUUUGGGGUCGGUUCACAGGUGGUGCAUGCCUGUCGUCAGCUCGUGUCGUGAGAUGUUGGGUUAAGUCCCGCAACGAGCGCAACCCUUGUUCACUGUUGCCAGCACGUUAUGGUGGGGACUCAGUGGAGACCGCCGGGGUCAACUCGGAGGAAGGUGGGGAUGACGUCAAGUCCUCAUGCCCCUUAUGUCCAGGGCUUCACGCAUGCUACAAUGGCUGGUACAGAGAGUGGCGAGCCUGUGAGGGUGAGCGAAUCUCGGAAAGCCGGUCUCAGUUCGGAUUGGGGUCUGCAACUCGACCUCAUGAAGUCGGAGUCGCUAGUAAUCGCAAAUCAGCAACGCUGCGGUGAAUGCGUUCCCGGGGCU